UGCGCGACCCUCGCGCCUCCCCUGAUGUUUUUCCCGCAUAGCGCGCCUCCUGUAGUGCGGCUUCGCCGCGUGGCCUGCGUGAUGCCCGCGGCGGUCGAGUGGUACAGGCGCGGUGCGAGAGAUGGCGCGACUGUCGCGCUGCUGCGGGGUUACUUGGGCGCCGAAAGGGAAGGCGCUUGGUCUCUUUGGGUUCGGGAAGCGAGCGCGACGGACGUGCCGCGCCGACGAUGCUUCUGCGAGACCGCCUCGCGUGGCGGCCUUCGAGCGCGCCUCCGUUGGCGUGACCGAACACGCGAACGACCAGGCGUUGGGAUCCAGCAUGGGGCGAACAUAUUCGCUCGCUCGCGGUGAGUCGGACUUCUAGAUUUGUCGCGCGCCCAUCGGCAUGUUUUGUGGAUAGCCACUCGGCUAGCUGGCAUUGAUCUAUGAUAGGUGCAAUAAAUGCCCUUGUGAUUGUUUGCACUACUGUGUUGUCGUUCCUUUGUCCCAAGAGUACGGAGGAGAAACCCGCAUCUCCCCACAUCUGGCUGCCCAACGUGGACCUCUUGGGGCAUCGGACGAUAGAUUUAACAGUUUUGCUUCGUUCGAGACCUUUGAACCGAAGCAUAGGGCUAGCGUGGAUUUUGAUCGCUAGCGUUGGCGGCGUGCUUUCUUGAGCGAGGCGGCGGUGGCUGUAGUGUGCUUGAACACGUCAACAUGCUAAGCCUUUUCGCAAGUGUUUUUUUUUAAUGACAUUCGUCAGUACGAGAGCCACGUGGUCUGCAUCCUGGGAGAGCGAGGCUGAGCGCCCGCGGAGCAGUGGCAAGCCUGAAGCGAGUGAGUACGGAAGCCUCGUGGGUGGUCCGAAUUUCUUAUGUAAAUAGCUUCUUCUAUCUCUUUGACUCGGAUGAAGUCGCGGCUCUGGGAGCCGGGUGGCCGCGGGCCACGGGUGCCACGACGGGCUGACUGGUAUUGCGGCCUGGCACCGGGCGCUCCGACACCGUCUGGGACGGUGGGCGCCGUCAACUCGGAUGCUGUGUGCACCGAGCGGAGUAGGACCACCUCACAGAGCUAACGUCUCCUCGCGGCUGCCUGUUUUGCGCUCAUUUUGAGUGUUGUUUUUGGAUGCCGGUUGUUGUCAGAGUAGCGACGCUUUAGGCCUAAGGCUUUACGAAGCUGCCUGUCGCACGUGGAGGGACACAACCUGGUGGACCGUGGCGUUGAGGUGUUGCAAGUUGCUUCCCUCAUUCUAGUUAGCCUCGCACGAAUUGAAAUUACUCGUUCGACUCAAGAAAGCGAGCUUCGUUCACGUGAACUUAGCAUCUGAGUAGCUGCCCGAUCUUUUGCUAGCCGAGUUGAACAUCGUACCACGUGGGCGAUGCGCAUGCAGAAUUCCUCUCCCUUGCACUACUGUAGUGUUUGCCGAGUGUGUUGAGUUUACGCAGCGUGAUUGGAGUCACCCCUGGCUUGCUGUCACCUGCACAUCGUCUGCGCUGCUGCCCCGGACUACGAUCGAGUCACCCCGGGCGAUGGUGAUGCUGUGGCCAGUUCGGCGCAGCGACUUCGGCGGCCUCCUGCAUCCAGCUCACAACCCUCGGCGGCGGACAAAGGAGCCAGCGGUCACCGACAGCUACGGCGGCUCUUGCCAGCAGGGCGCGUCGGCGCGAGCGACGCUUGCUCGUAACGACUACUGCGUCGUCGUCUCCGGAGUCCUGGCCUGGGAUCGUGCCGUCGAGUCGCAAAGCUGCUGCUGUGACCGGCGGACGCCAGCGGUGUACCCCAAGGACAGUCGGCUCGCAUGUUACGGACAGCGUGUGGACAUUUCCCCGGUGCGGCCACUGUUGCAUGUACCACCUUGUUCGCGAAGCACGGGUUAAUGUUAGACCGUGUCACAUGUUUCGCCGGAAUAAGAAGUGAUUUAAGGUUGGGGGGAUGUGGGGAUGCGCGACCCUCGCGCCUCCCCUGAUGUUUUUCCCGCAUAGCGCGCCUCCUGUAGUGCGGCUUCGCCGCGUGGCCUGCGUGAUGCCCGCGGCGGUCGAGUGGUACAGGCGCGGUGCGAGAGAUGGCGCGACUGUCGCGCUGCUGCGGGGUUACUUGGGCGCCGAAAGGGAAGGCGCUUGGUCUCUUUGGGUUCGGGAAGCGAGCGCGACGGACGUGCCGCGCCGACGAUGCUUCUGCGAGACCGCCUCGCGUGGCGGCCUUCGAGCGCGCCUCCGUUGGCGUGACCGAACACGCGAACGACCAGGCGUUGGGAUCCAGCAUGGGGCGAACAUAUUCGCUCGCUCGCGCUUUGCUUCGUCCUGCUGUGUUCCGUGGCUGGGGUGUGCACGGACCAUCCUGAACAUGCCAGCUUCGUGCAGACCGACCAGACCAACAUGCAAGCUAUCAUGGUCGAAGAUUUGCACGUGCAAGAUGGUCUUCGCGAUUCACUGUGGGACUGCAGGAUACGUCACUCGACAGCGCCUGCGCAGUUGCACGACCAACAAGCAGCGCCUCACCACAGCACCCGUAUAAAAAGGCCUUCCUCGGCACUAUGGCUUUAUUGGGCACGGCAGCGCAGUUGCGAUGGUGGCAUCUAACCCUUUUGUCUUCGUCAUGCAGAUUGCAAUUCAUGCCUGCUGUUAUCGACGGUCUGGUGGACUCAAGUGGCAUCAACUGGAGUGACAUCAUCUGCUGGUUCAUGUCACAACUCAUGCCAGCUGUUAUCUGCACUCAUGUGAAGUCAAGCGACAUCUACCGGAGUGACCUCAGCCACCAAAUCAGAUACAAAAGGGGGUGCCCAUGUGCUCACCCGUCACUUGGCAGCAAGGGUUGCGGCAGCGAGCAAACAACAAAUUUUGUCCUGAUACUUUGUACAGGACGGUCCCGUGGAUGGUGGGCAAGCACAAGAAACAUCCGUACCGCUCGCCGGCCUCAAGCUAAAGAGGAAGAGCCUACUCCUUUCUGCACCCGAGUAACCCUGCCAUUAGGUAGCGUUAGCAGCUCAACACUUGCACAAUCUCUCGCACUACCCUGCAACCACACCGACCACUGCCGGUGCAAGGUCAUGUGGCGAAGCCAGAUUACAGGAGAUGCGAGCCACACGUGGAAAACAACUUCAGGGGAUGUGUGAGAGUUGAGCAUCCCCGCAGAGUUAAUAAACUUAACCUGUACGCAACCUGAAACAGCAGGCUGCUAUGAGCCUUGCACUGACACAAUUGCCUGAAAGGGUAUUUCAGGUUUGGGAGUCUUCACUGUGAACAAAAACCUGCAACUCGAGGUUUUUGGAAGUCUUCACCAAGGAAUGUAAGCAUUCAAGCUCGAGGUCCAACAACUUUUCUACAGUUCACUGCAAACUCGCAUUGCAGCUGAAAUCAAUCCUAGACAACUGGUCACAACAUUGAGCCUAAAAGCCUACAAUUGCACCUGGGAAGAACUGAUUGGCCAUUUGAUACGAAGGAGCACCAGUCAUGUUUCUUUCUUAGGUUGUCGCAGCUAAUAGAGAUAAUGGGUAAAUGAGACAACCACCCAAACGUAGCUAAGUGCUAGAAAGGUGCUACAUAGCUAAAUGCUACCUUUAUUAAUUACUCCUCUCCACCGUGUGGGUUUCCACAGAACUAUUAUGUCAAAGCUAAUAGGGAUGCUCAAGCAUAACAGCUUGGAUAAAAACUUGACUGUGCUGGUGCAGCUAUUGGUCACCUCACAAAUGCAUCCUACAAACAAGAUGUGGCUAACACUAUGGCCCUAUUUGAGCACAGAAGUGGUGGUCAGCAACUCUGUCUGGGCAUUCCAAGACACGUGCAGCAAGCCACCAACAGACAGCAAGAC